rnacentral:rRNA from 1 species
GCUUCUUUUUCCACCGGAGCUUGCUCCACCGGAAAAAGAGGAGUGGCGAACGGGUGAGUAACACGUGGGUAACCUGCCCAUCAGAAGGGGAUAACACUUGGAAACAGGUGCUAAUACCGUAUAACAAUCGAAACCGCAUGGUUUUGAUUUGAAAGGCGCUUUCGGGUGUCGCUGAUGGAUGGACCCGCGGUGCAUUAGCUAGUUGGUGAGGUAACGGCUCACCAAGGCGACGAUGCAUAGCCGACCUGAGAGGGUGAUCGGCCACAUUGGGACUGAGACACGGCCCAAACUCCUACGGGAGGCAGCAGUAGGGAAUCUUCGGCAAUGGACGAAAGUCUGACCGAGCAACGCCGCGUGAGUGAAGAAGGUUUUCGGAUCGUAAAACUCUGUUGUUAGAGAAGAACAAGGAUGAGAGUAACUGUUCAUCCCUUGACGGUAUCUAACCAGAAAGCCACGGCUAACUACGUGCCAGCAGCCGCGGUAAUACGUAGGUGGCAAGCGUUGUCCGGAUUUAUUGGGCGUAAAGCGAGCGCAGGCGGUUUCUUAAGUCUGAUGUGAAAGCCCCCGGCUCAACCGGGGAGGGUCAUUGGAAAACUGGGAGACUUGAGUGCAGAAGAGGA